CAGGCAGGAUGAAUGGCCGCGGCUGCAGGUGUCGAAAGACCGCAGGCGAGGAAAGUCCGGGCUUCACAGGGCAGGAUGCCGGAUAACGUCCGGUGGAGGCAACUCCCAGGAAAGUGCAGCAGAAAUAUACCGCCAGCUUUUUUCAGCUGGUAAGGGUGGAAGGGCAGUGUAAGAGACUACCGCCUUUCUGGUAACAGGAAGGGCACAUGUAAACCCCAUCCGAAGCAAGACCGAGCAGAAGCGUAUACGCGGCCCGCCAGCUUCAGGUAGGUCGCUUGAGGCGGCUGGCGACAGCCGUCCCAGAUAGAUGGCCAUUCACGACAGAACCCGGCUUACAGUCCUGCCUGCGUU
rnacentral:RNase_P_RNA from 1 species